rnacentral:rRNA from 1 species
UACGAAGGGGGCUAGCGUUGCUCGGAAUCACUGGGCGUAAAGGGUGCGUAGGCGGGUCUUUAAGUCAGGGGUGAAAUCCUGGAGCUCAACUCCAGAACUGCCUUUGAUACUGAGGAUCUUGAGUUCGGGAGAGGUGAGUGGAACUGCGAGUGUAGAGGUGAAAUUCGUAGAUAUUCGCAAGAACACCAGUGGCGAAGGCGGCCUCACUGGCCCGAUACUGACGCUGAGGCAUGAAAGCGUGGGGAGCAACAG